GGGUAUGGCUCAGUGGUAGAGUGCUCGCCUAGCACAUGUGAGGCCCUGGGUUCGAUCCUUAGCACCACA
rnacentral:tRNA from 1 species